rnacentral:lncRNA from 1 species
CGAACCCAGAAUCUGAUUCAAAUCCGAAAUCGAAUCCGACAGAUUUUAAAAUUAAUAUGCAGAUCCGAGCCCAAUCGAAAUCCUAAUCCAACCCAAAAUGAUUAUCUCCCAACUAUAUUUUGAACAUAUUAUAGUAAAAUCUAAAGUUUUAAAAUAUAAGUUUAAAUACAAUACCAAACAUUCAUAUACAUUAUAUAAUAUAAAAUCAAUUCAUGUUCAGAUCGGGUUUCAGCUCUGGUCGGGUAGAGAUAAAAUUCAUACCCGAAUUCAAAUUUGUUCGAUUUUCGUUAUUUAUAUAUCAUUAUCCGAAACUGUAUCCAUUUAGCAUUGGAUAAACCGCCACGUUCCGAUAAAAUUUCGGAUAAUCUGUAUCCAU